ACGCACGCUGGCGGCGUGCCUAAUCCAUGCAAGUCGGGCGGACCGAACGAGGGCUUGCUCUUGUUUGGUCAGCGGCGGACGGGUGAGUAACACGUGGGCAACCUGCCCGCAAGACCGGGAUAACUCCGGGAAACCGGAGCUAAUACCGGAUAACACCGAAGACCGCAUGGUCUUCGGUUGAAAGGCGGCCUUUGGGCUGUCACUUGCGGAUGGGCCCGCGGCGCAUUAGCUAGUUGGUGAGGUAACGGCUCACCAAGGCGACGAUGCGUAGCCGGCCUGAGAGGGUGACCGGCCACACUGGGACUGAGACACGGCCCAGACUCCUACGGGAGGCAGCAGUAGGGAAUCUUCCGCAAUGGGCGAAAGCCUGACGGAGCGACGCCGCGUGAGCGAAGAAGGCCUUCGGGUCGUAAAGCUCUGUUGUGAGGGACGAAGGAGCGCCGUUCGAAGAGGGCGGCGCAGUGACAGUACCUCACGAGAAAGCCCCGGCUAACUACGUG
rnacentral:rRNA from 1 species